UACAGAGGGUGCGAGCGUUGUUCGGAAUUAUUGGGCGUAAAGGGCGCGUAGGCGGUGCGGUAAGUCACCUGUGAAAUCUCCCGGCUUAACUGGGAGGGUGCGCUAUAGACUGUGGGGCUAGAGUGUGGGAGAGGAAAGUGGAAUUCCUGGUGUAGCGGUGAAAUGCGUAGAUAUCAGGAGGAACACCGGUGGUGUAAACGGCUUUCUGGACCAUAACUGACGCUGAGGCACGAAAGCGUGGGUAGCAAACAGG
rnacentral:rRNA from 1 species